rnacentral:rRNA from 1 species
UGAGUAAUGUAUGGGGAUCUGCCUGAUGGCGGGGGAUAACUACUGGAAACGGUAGCUAAUACCGCAUAAUGUCUACGGACCAAAGCGGGGGACCUCCGGGCCUCGCGCCAUCAGAUGAACCCAUAUGGGAUUAGCUUGUAGGUAAGGUAACGGCUUACCUAGGCGACGAUCCCUAGCUGGUCUGAGAGGAUGAUCAGCCACACUGGGACUGAGACACGGCCCAG